rnacentral:rRNA from 1 species
AGUCGAGCGAGAAAUUUUCUUCGGAAAAGAGUAAAGCGGCGGACGGGUGAGUAACGCGUAGGAAUCUACCUAGUAGUGGGGGACAACAUGUGGAAACGCAUGCUAAUACCGCAUACGCCCUAUGGGGGAAAGCAGGGGAUCUUCGGACCUUGUGCUAUUAGAUGAGCCUGCGUCGGAUUAGUUUGUUGGCAGGGUAAUGGCCUACCAAGACUACGAUCCGUAGCUGGUCUGAGAGGAUGAUCAGCCACACUGGGACUGAGACACGGCCCAGACUCCUACGGGAGGCAGCAGUGGGGAAUAUUGGACAAUGGGCGCAAGCCUGAUCCAGCCAUGCCGCGUGUGUGAAGAAGGCUCUAGGGUUGUAAAGCACUUUCAGUAGGGAGGAAAAGUUAGUAGUUAAUAACUGCUAGCCCUGACGUUACCUACAGAAGAAGCACCGGCAAACUCCGUGCCAGCAGCCGCGGUAAUACGGAGGGUGCGAGCGUUAAUCGGAAUUACUGGGCGUAAAGCGCGCGUAGGCGGUUUGAUAAGCUGGAUGUGAAAGCCCCGGGCUCAACCUGGGAACUGCAUCCAGAACUGUCUGACUAGAAUACAAUAGAGGUGAGUGGAAUUUCCUGUGUAGCGGUGAAAUGCGUAGAUAUAGGAAGGAACAUCAGUGGCGAAGGCGACUCACUGGAUUGAUAUUGACGCUAAGGUGCGAAAGCGUGGGGAGCGAACAGGAUUAGAUACCCUGGUAGUCCACGCCGUAAACGAUGUCUACUAGCCGUUGGGAUCCUUGAGGUCUUAGUGGCGCAGCUAACGCAAUAAGUAGACCGCCUGGGGAGUACGGCCGCAAGGUUAAAACUCAAAUGAAUUGACGGGGGCCCGCACAAGCGG